AAGCUUGCUUCCCGCUGACGAGCGGCGGACGGGUGAGUAAUGCUUAGGAAUCUGCCCAGUAGUGGGGGAUAGCCCGGGGAAACCCGGAUUAAUACCGCAUACGUCCUACGGGAGAAAGCAGGGGAUCUUCGGACCUUGCGCUAUUGGAUGAGCCUAAGUCGGAUUAGCUAGUUGGUGGGGUAAAGGCCUACCAAGGGGACCAAUCCAAAUCUGGUCUGAGAGGAUGAUCAGCCACAUCGGGACUGAGACACGGCCCGAACUCCUACGGGAGGCAGCAGUGGGGAAUAUUGGACAAUGGGGGCAACCCUGAUCCAGCCAUGCCGCGUGUGUGAAGAAGGCUUUCGGGUUGUAAAGCACUUUCAGUAGGGAGGAAAACCUUAUGGUUAAUACCCAUGAGGCUUGACGUUACCUACAGAAGAAGCACCGGCUAACUCCGUGCCAGCAGCCGCGGUAAUACGGAGGGUGCAAGCGUUAAUCGGAAUUACUGGGCGUAAAGCGCGCGUAGGUGGUUUGGUAAGCGAGAUGUGAAAGCCCCGG
rnacentral:rRNA from 2 species